AUGAUUGCAGAUUAUGAUGCCAUGCCGUUCCGUCAAGAAAAUCCCCGUUAAUUAUCAAACAAAAUUCUGGACAAGGAAUACGGAGCAAUCCAGCAACCCAAGAGUUACAGAAUGUUAAAUAUAUAUAUAAACUGACCUUAGGCCAUUGAGCAGCAUCCAUGAGUGGGUUGAGAAAGGAAAAGGGCUGGUUCUAAUGAGCAAGUUAGAAUGAUUUUGAAGGAGAAAAUGAAGGGUCUGCAAAUGUGUAAAUAUAAAGAAGCAGGGAAAGAAUGUUUUGGAAUUCUAUUGUGUUUUGGCUUUAUUUGGUGAGUUAGAUUUGUAUAAUGACUGAUGACAGAAGCAGAGGAUUUUCUUUUUGACUUACUGUUGUGAAAUCAAACUAUUUUAGUGUUG